AAAUAAGAAGCAAAAAUUUUGCAUUUAGUUUCGACCUAAAAAUUUGAUUAUUAAAUCCUUAUUUU
rnacentral:tRNA from 1 species